UAAUCAACAGUAUGAGGGUAGGGAUUGA
rnacentral:piRNA from 1 species